GGCAAAGUGUAGGUUUUUAAAUGUUAGGGGGGGAAAGUGAAAAAGCGGGUUAUUACAGGAGGGUUUUCUGUAAUUUAGCCAAAAAAAUAAUAACUGAGUUUAAUUAUUUUAAGUCGGUGGUUUAGAUCCAACGAGUUAUUAUUACUGGCGUGUCCGAUUAUCGUUUGAUAAAUUUGAAACUAUGUGUAUUAUUGGAUUGGACUGACGAGAAUGUGAGGCCCAAUGAGUUAUUAUUAUUAGCGGGAGAAAUCAUUACAAAUAUAAUAAUUAACU
rnacentral:lncRNA from 1 species